rnacentral:sRNA from 1 species
UGUGUAUGGAUGCAAAGAUCAAUUUUGACUCUAAUUCAGCCUAUCGCCAAAAGAAAAUCUUUGAUCUACAGGACUGGACCCAGGAAGAUGAAAGGGACAAAGAUGCUGCUAAGGCAAAUCUCAACUACAUUGGUCUCGAUGGAAAUAUAGGCUGCCUAGGUACCAUGUGUUUUUAUGUUAGAAUUGGAUUCACUAAGUUUAAUUUGGAUUUACUAAGUUUAAUUUAUUUUCUCUAUGUUUGUUGCUUAUACAAAUCAUUUUCCCCUAUAUAGUAAAUGGUGCUGGUUUGGCUAUGGCCACAAUGGAUAUAAUAAAACUUCAUGGAGGGACUCCAGCCAACUUCCUUGAUGUUGGUGGUGGUGCUACAGUCCAUCAAGUAACAGAAGCAUUUAAGCUUAUCACUUCAGAUAAAAAGGUACUGGCUAUUCUGGUCAACAUUUUUGGAGGAAUCAUGCGCUGUGAUGUUAUUGCACAGGGUAUAGUCAUGGCAGUAAAAGACUUGGAAAUUAAAAUACCUGUUGUGGUACGGUUACAAGGUACACGAGUCGAUGAUGCUAAGGCACUGAUAGCGGACAGUGGACUUAAAAUACUUGCUUGUGAUGACUUGGAUGAAGCUGCUAGAAUGGUUGUAAAGCUCUCUGAAAUAGUGACCUUAGCGAAGCAAGCACAUGUGGAUGUGAAAUUUCAGUUGCCAAUAUGAUCUGAAAACC